GUGAGGAAUAUUGGUCAAUGGGCGGGAGCCUGAACCAGCCAAGUCGCGUGAAGGAAGAAGGAUCUAUGGUUCGUAAACUUCUUUUGCAGGGGAAUAAAGUGCAGGACGUGUCCUGUUUUGUAUGUACCCUGAGAAUAAGGAUCGGCUAACUCCGUGCCAGCAGCCGCGGUAAUACGGAGGAUCCGAGCGUUAUCCGGAUUUAUUGGGUUUAAAGGGUGCGUAGGUGGUUUGAUAAGUCAGCGGUGAAAGUUUGCAGCUUAACUGUAAAAAUGCCGUUGAAACUGUCGGACUUGAGUGUAAAUGAGGUAGGCGGAAUGCGUGGUGUAGCGGUGAAAUGCAUAGAUAUCACGCAGAACUCCGAUUGCGAAGGCAGCUUACUGGUCCAUUAUUGACGCUGAGGCACGAAAGCGUGGGGAUCGAACAGGAUUAGAAACCCGAGUAGUCC
rnacentral:rRNA from 1 species